UAUCACUAAGGGGAGGAAAAGAAACUAACAAGGAUUCCCCCAGUAACGGCGAGUGAAGUGGGAAGAGCCCAGCACCGAAUCCCGCGCGCCUUGCGCCGCAGGGAACUGUGGUGUUCGAGACGCGAGAUGCCGUCCUCGUGCCAGCGCCCAAGUCCUCCUGAUCGGGGCCUUUCCCAGAGCGGGUGUCAGGCCUUUACCGGCGAGGGCCGGGGCGGCUCCGAGCGUCUCAAGAGUCGGGUUGUUUGGGAAUGCAGCCCAAAGCGGGUGGUAAACUCC
rnacentral:rRNA from 1 species